UACAGAGGUCUCGAGCGUUGUUCGGAUUCAUUGGGCGUAAAGGGAGCGCAGGCGGUGUGGCAAGUCUGGUGUGAAAGCUUGGGGCUCAACCCCAAAAUUGCAUUGGAUACUGCCAUGCUUGAGGACUGUAGAGGAGAGUGGAAUUCACGGUGUAGCAGUGAAAUGCGUAGAUAUCGUGAGGAAGACCAGUUGCGAAAGCGACUCUCUGGGCAGUUCCUGACGCUCAUGCACGAAGGCCAGGGGAGCAAACGGG
rnacentral:rRNA from 1 species